rnacentral:rRNA from 1 species
AUGCCUACGGGACGCAGCAGUAGGGAAUCUUCCACAAUGGACGAAAGUCUGAUGGAGCAACGCCGCGUGAGUGAAGAAGGGUUUCGGCUCAUAAAGCUCUGUUAGUAGAGAAGAAAGAUAGAGGUAGUAACUGGCCUUUAUUUGACGGUAAUUACUUAGAAAGUCACGGCUAACUACGUGCCAGCAGCCGCGGUAAUACGUAGGUGGCAAGCGUUGUCCGGAUUUAUUGGGCGUAAAGCGAGUGCAGGCGGUUCAUUAAGUCUGAUGUGAAAGCCUUCUGC